rnacentral:rRNA from 1 species
AGUGAACGCUGGCGGUAGGCCUAACACAUGCAAGUCGAACGGCAGCACAGUAAGAGCUUGCUCUUACGGGUGGCGAGUGGCGGACGGGUGAGGAAUACAUCGGAAUCUACUUUUUCGUGGGGGAUAACGUAGGGAAACUUACGCUAAUACCGCAUACGACCUACGGGUGAAAGCAGGGGAUCUUCGGACCUUGCGCGAUUGAAUGAGCCGAUGUCGGAUUAGCUAGUUGGCGGGGUAAAGGCCCACCAAGGCGACGAUCCGUAGCUGGUCUGAGAGGAUGAUCAGCCACACUGGAACUGAGACACGGUCCAGACUCCUACGGGAGGCAGCAGUGGGGAAUAUUGGACAAUGGGCGCAAGCCUGAUCCAGCCAUACCGCGUGGGUGAAGAAGGCCUUCGGGUUGUAAUGCCCUUUUGUUGGGAAAGAAAAGCAGCAGGUUAAUACCCCGCUGCUCUGACGGUACCCAAAGAAUAAGCACCGGCUAACUUCGUG